CACAUAGGGACUGAGAUACGGGAGAGAGGAGCAGGAGGCAGCAGUGGGGAAUAUUGCACAAUGGGCGGAAGCCUGAUGCAGCAACGCCGCGUGCGGGAUGACGGCCUUCGGGUUGUAAACCGCUUUCGCCUGUGACGAAGCGUGAGUGACGGUAAUGGGUAAAGAAGCACCGGCUAACUACGUGCCAGCAGCCGCGGUGAUACGUAGGGUGCGAGCGUUGUCCGGAUUUAUUGGGCGUAAAGGGCUCGUAGGUGGUUGAUCGCGUCGGAAGUGUAAUCUUGGGGCUUAACCCUGAGCGUGCUUUCGAUACGGGUUGACUUGAGGAAGGUAGGGGAGACUGGAAUU
rnacentral:rRNA from 1 species